rnacentral:ncRNA from 1 species
CUCUAAUAUUAUUCCGGAUUAUAUAUUUUACGGAAUAUAUACAGUGUAAGUAUUAGAUAUUAAAGGGAUUUAUUCCUUCCUAAAAAAUAGGUAAAUAUGUAUCAAUGGACUAUGUAUUAGUAAGCACAGGAUGCAGAAUAUAUGU